rnacentral:rRNA from 1 species
CCUACGGGAGGCAGCAGUGGGGACUAUUGGACAAUGGGGGGAACCCUGAUCCAGCGACGCCGCGUGAGUGAAGAAGUAUUUCGGUAUGUAAAGCUCUAUCAGCAGGGAAGAAAGAAAUGACGGUACCUGACUAAGAAGCCCCGGCUAACUACGUGCCAGCAGCCGCGGUAAUACGUAGGGGGCAAGCGUUAUCCGGAUUUACUGGGUGUAAAGGGAGCGUAGACGGCGAUGCAAGUCUGAAGUGAAAGGCGGGGGCUCAACCCCCGGACUGCUUUGGAAACUGUAUGGCUGGAGUGCAGGAGAGGUAAGUGGAAUUCCUAGUGUAGCGGUGAAAUGCGUAGAUAUUAGGAGGAACACCAGUGGCGAAGGCGGCUUACUGGACUGUAACUGACGUUGAGGCUCGAAAGCGUGGGGAGCAAACAGGAUUAGAUACCCGGGUAGUC